rnacentral:rRNA from 1 species
CGUUCCCGGGCCUUGUACACACCGCCCGUCACACCAUGGGAGUUGGUUCUACCCGAAGGCGUUUUGCUAACCGCAAGGGGCAGACGACCACGGUAGGGUCAGCGACUGGGGUG